rnacentral:rRNA from 1 species
AACGAACGCUGGCGGCAUGCCUAACACAUGCAAGUCGAACGAGACCUUCGGGUCUAGUGGCGCACGGGUGCGUAACGCGUGGGAACCUGCCCUUAGGUUCGGAAUAACUCCCCGAAAGGGGUGCUAAUACCGGAUAAUGUCUUCGGACCAAAGAUUUAUCGCCUUUGGUUGGGCCCGCGUUGGAUUAGCUAGUUGGUAGGGUAAAAGCUUACCAAGGCGACGAUCCAUAGCUGGUCUGAGAGGAUGAUCAGCCACACUGGGACUGAGACACGGCCCAGACUCCUACGGGAGGCAGCAGUGGGGAAUAUUGGACAAUGGGCGAAAGCCUGAUCCAGCAAUGCCGCGUGAGUGAUGAAGGCCUUAGGGUUGUAAAGCUCUUUUACCCGGGAUGAUAAUGACAGUACCGGGAGAAUAAGCUCCGGCUAACUCCGUG